rnacentral:ncRNA from 1 species
GUGACAUAAUCUGGCGAAGGUGAUCCCCCAGCGAGGGAACACAGACAACUCCACAUGAUCACCGCAGGAUCGAGGAAGCCGGAAGAGCCGGCACGGUCGCGCCACUGUGUCCGACGCCACGAGCGUCGGGAGUCAGGAACUCGCCCGCGAUGACAGACCCAC